rnacentral:tRNA from 1 species
CGGGGCGUAGCGCAGUUGGUAGCGCGCACGGAUGGGGUCCGUGAGGCCGGAAGUUCGAAUCUUCUCGCUCCGA